ACUUAAAUUGAAGAGUUUGAUCAUGGCUCAGAUUGAACGCUGGCGGCAGGCCUAACACAUGCAAGUCGAGCGGUAGCACAGAGAGCUUGCUCUCGGGUGACGAGCGGCGGACGGGUGAGUAAUGUCUGGGAAACUGCCUGAUGGAGGGGGAUAACUACUGGAAACGGUAGCUAAUACCGCAUAACGUCGCAAGACCAAAGUGGGGGACCUUCGGGCCUCAUGCCAUCAGAUGUGCCCAGAUGGGAUUAGCUAGUAGGUGGGGUAACGGCUCACCUAGGCGACGAUCCCUAGCUGGUCUGAGAGGAUGACCAGCCACACUGGAACUGAGACAC
rnacentral:rRNA from 1 species